rnacentral:rRNA from 1 species
CCUACGGGAGGCAGCAGUGGGGAAUUUUGGACAAUGGACGCAAGUCUGAUCCAGCCAUUCCGCGUGCAGGAUGAAGGCCCUCGGGUUGUAAACUGCUUUUGUACGGAACGAAAAGGUCUCUCUUAAUACGGGGGGCUCAUGACGGUACCGUAAGAAUAAGCACCGGCUAACUACGUGCCAGCAGCCGCGGUAAU